rnacentral:rRNA from 1 species
AUAAAGCUUUAUAUUAUCAGCUAUGAUUUAAUUAAAUUAAAAAGAAAUUAAAGGUUUUAAUAAGCUAUUAUAUUUUAUUGGGGAGAUAUAAGUAUAAUUUUAUGUAACUGCUUAUAAGUCGAUACAUUGAUAAUUGGUUUAAAUUUUAAUGAUCCUUUGAAUAAAGAUUCAAGACCA